rnacentral:rRNA from 1 species
GACAGAGGGUGCAAACGUUGUUCGGAAUUACUGGGCGUAAAGCGCGUGUAGGCUGCUCGGAAAGUCGGAUGUGAAAGCCCUGGGCUCAACCUAGGAAGUGCAUUCGAAACUUCUGAGCUUGAGUAUCGGAGAGGGUCGCGGAAUUCUCGGUGUAGAGGUGAAAUUCGUAGAUAUCGAGAGGAACACCGGUGGCGAAGGCGGCGACCUGGACGAUUACUGACGCUGAGACGCGAAAGCGUGGGGAGCAAACAGG